rnacentral:rRNA from 1 species
GACGAACGCUGGCGGCGCGCUUAACACAUGCAAGUCGAACGGAAAGGCCUGCUUUCCCUUGUGGAUUGCGGGUACUCGAGUGGCGAACGGGUGAGUAACACGUGAGUGAUCUGCCCCCAACUUGGGUAUAAGCCUGGGAAACUGGGUCUAAUUCCCGAUAGGACUGCAGGGUGGUGCCUGUGGUGGAAAACGAUUUUCUAGUGGUUGGGGAUGAGCUCGCGGCCUAUCAGCUUGUUGGUGGGGUAAUGGCCUACCAAGGCGGCGACGGGUAGCCGGCCUGAGAGGGUGGACGGCCACAUUGGGACUGAGAUACGGCCCAGACUCCUACGGGAGGCAGCAGUGGGGAAUAUUGCACAAUGGGCGGAAGCCUGAUGCAGCGACGCCGCGUGGGGGAUGACGGCCUUCGGGUUAUAAACUCCUUUCGACCGCGAGGAAGCCACCUGGUUGGAAGGGUGGUGACGGUAGUGGUAGAAGAAGCACCGGCUAACUACGUG